AGCCUACGUGUUGAACGUCUGCAUUUGAUGAAUCAAUUAUAAAUUGCAGUAAACGCGAUGAAGAGUUAAGUUGGCGAUUUCAGCGAUGGUAAGAAUGAAGUUCCCAACUGCAAAAAUGUGGUGGCCUCCUAAGAGAUGUAAGAAGACAGAAGUCCCUUUGGUGGUAUACAUUUUGGAAUAUGAUCUCCGGCUUCUGCAUGGAUGCUAAUGUGCAAAUGUAACUUUGAAACUUUAAAUGGUGUUAGAGUUCUGAAUGAGUUGCUAUUUAGAUGUUUGGAUGAAUGUCUUUUUCAAUAAAAGUGUGAAACCGUAACUUGUGAUGUAUAGCUAUCAGGUCACUUAUUAUUUGACAUACUGGAGUGGUGCUACACUUCAUUAAUCAGUGUAAUUGUGGUGGUUUAACUUCAAUUGAUCAAUUGACUUGAUAUGCAAAAACAUGCUUAACCUUAGUUUGCUAGCAAAUGCUUGAACAUAUGGCAUACGUCCAGUAUUGAGUGUGGACCGCUGAGCUAAUAGACAAUGCCUUGUAUAAACCCACCA
rnacentral:lncRNA from 1 species